rnacentral:tmRNA from 1 species
GGGGGUGACGUGGUUUCGACGGGGUUACUGGUUCUUUGAACUGCGCACCGUGUUCACCGUAGACACGUUAAACGACGGUAAAAAAAUAAAUGGCGAAUAUAACUACGCAUUAGCUGCUUAAUUAAAAACAGCAGCCGCUCUUUAAAUCCUUUCGUAUCAGGAUUUAACAGAGCGUCGUCAAUGAUACGAUAGCCAAGUCAAGUGUCCGUGUAGACAAGGCGAAAUUCUAACGGAAUAGUCCUGUUAAAAUCUGUCUGUCGAUGUUAACAGGGCGAAACUUAAAAGACAGACUAUGUGCGUAGACGUUCAUUGAAAGGUAACUUCGGACCGGGGUUCGACUCCCCGCACCUCCACCA